rnacentral:rRNA from 1 species
AUUGAACGCUGGCGGCAUGCCUUACACAUGCAAGUCGAACGGUAACAGGUCUUCGGAUGCUGACGAGUGGCGAAUGGGUGAGUAAUACAUCGGAACGUGCCUAGUAGUGGGGGAUAACUACUCGAAAGAGUGGCUAAUACCGCAUGAGAUCUACGGAUGAAAGCAGGGGAGCGCAAGACCUUGUGCUACUAGAGCGGCCGAUGGCAGAUUAGGUAGUUGGUGGGAUAAAAGCUUACCAAGCCGACGAUCUGUAGCUGGUCUGAGAGGACGAUCAGCCACACUGGGACUGAGACACGGCCCAGACUCCUACGGGAGGCAGCAUUGGGGAAUUUUGGACAAUGGGCGAAAGCCUGAUCCAGCAAUGCCGCGUGCAGGAUGAAGGCCUUCGGGUUGUAAACUGCUUUUGUACGGAACGAAAAGCCCCGGGUUAAUACCCUGGGGUCAUGACGGUACCGUAAGAAUAAGCACCGGCUAACUACGUGCCAGCAGCCGCGGUAA